UCCGGUAUGGUGUAACGGCUAACAUUGCCGCCUUUCAUGUCGAGUGAUAUCGAGUUGAGUUACGCGGCAGCUCGGGGUUCGAUUCCCCGUACCGGAA